CGGGAUUAAUUGACCUAUAUCUAAUAUAUCAAAAUCCCAAACCCCACACCCUCAAGCCAAACCCCCCUUGCCCUCUUCGUCUCUAACCUCAGAGACCCCAAAAUCCCACCACCACAAACCAACGCACGCCGCCGGCCACCCAAAUAACACCACUGAACCUCCAUGCCUUCCUCUUUCCAAAUCCCUACCCGUUUUUCCUCGAAUCAUCACCGAUCUUCUCGAAUAAGAGAUCGAAAGAUCAGACCAUAACCCUAGUUCACCCAAUAACUACCAAACUCACACCAGUCAACCUCCUGACCUCCCUCAUUCCUAAAACCACCAUUAGUUUCGUUCGAAUCUCGUUGGAACUGUUCGAAUCCCAAAUCGAACCAAAGAACCCUGACAUAACCAAAAACUGAACUUGUCCGAGAUUAGGGGAAAUUUGAGGUUUCCAACCGACCUUAGUCAAGUGUUCUCAGUCGAGAACACAUGAUUAAGGUCUAUUUUGGCCUCAAAAGAGUUCGAGUAGAAGCUUUGAUGAGGACGAAGUCCGUUUGGUUUCUCAAUUUGAGGUAUUUCCUCUCUUUGUUUGUUCUAUUUUCGUAGUUUAUCUUCUUAAGUCUCAUUGUAUUUUGUUUGAUUGAUUUUCUAUUAUUUUUGCCAAUUAUCUUGUUCUUCUCUUCUGAACCUUUUUCUUGGUCCGAAUUUUCUGAUUGAUGGUUAUAGGUUAUAACUUGUUUAAUUGAUUGAAUAAGUGUCGUCGAUUAGUCUGUUAUGUUUAAAUGUUAGAGUAACGUGAUAAUAGUUUAAUUUUUAGUUCAUUCCAGUAGGUUUCCCCUCCUGUUUCUUUUCUAUUCUAGUUCUUGUGUUGAAAUAAGCCUGUUGACAUAUUUGAACUUAGAACUGAGCCUGUUGGUAUAUUCAGUUCAUCUUUGAACUCAAUUGAUUAAUCAUUUGUUAUCAUGAAUAUGCCUAUCCCCUUAAAUCUCUUGUGGUUGUUUAUUCUGUUGUUUUCCAAUCAAAUUAAGUGUAUGUUCGUCUAAUUGGUUUCAGUUCACUUGUUUCUGAGCUAAAUAUGAUUAGUUCCCCAAUAUAGUUAGCUCAAUAUGUGCUCCACUGAGCCUUUAGUCUUCAUUGUUAAUGAUAUUUGAUUUGAUCUUCUAUUUUGCAUUAUUGAUUGAUUGAUAAAUGGAAUUGGUUGUAGCUGUGGUUUUGGUACAGAGUGAAGGAAUAUUGGGAUAAGUCAGCAGUUUCAGUGAAUCACAUGGGUAAUUUGGGGUGUCAAAACUUGAAAAAUGCUUUAGUUUGAAUGGCUGUCAGUAAGGUACUAAUGGACCAUUAAACUAUUGUAUAUGUUUAAUGAAAGUGGGGAACAAGACAUAGUAGUAUGGGGGCCACUAAGUAAUAAUUAGGGCUCUAAUAGGUUAUGGGAGUAAUAAUAUAUUGAAUGCUUUUUAUUAAAUUGGCAAUCAAAAAUAGUAAGUAAUAAAUAAAAAGCUAAAAGGGUUCACAUAGUAGAAGAAUAUAGAAAGCUGGAAAGUAAAAGAAGCAUGUGGGAAAUAAUAAAAAGGUUUUCUUUUACAACUAUUAAAGAAAAGAAGGGCUGAAAGGGGUUUUAAGAAGUUUGGGUUUAAAUAUAGAGAUUAGUAGAGACAUUAAGACAGACUUGGAACUGGCAGUAAGAGCUUAGAUUCAAAAACACAUAGAAAAAUCCAAAUAUAGAUAUACUUACAGACUUUAAGAGAGAGAGAGGGCAUUGGGAAAGAUUUUUUGAAAUCAAUCCUAGGGUCCUUUUUGAAUCAAUCUUAGAGAGGUUCUGAAAAUCAGUCUAAAAAUAAUCAGUUUAAAGAGAGUGUUUUGAGAGCUUAAAAACUAGAGAGUUUGGUCGGUCUUUAAAGAGAUUUGGAGUGUUCAGAGAGUUUCCCUACUGUUCCAUUGAAAACUGAAGAGAAUUACAGCUUUAAUUAUCAAGCUAUAUUUCUGAGUUCAUCUUUUGGGUUGCUGGAUUCUAGGGGUGAUUCUAUUGGGAUUUCUGAUUGGGUUUUUGUUGCAUUUUGUUUAUACUGGAGUCAGUUACUUGGUGUUGCAUCUCUGUGGUAUCUAACUGGGUUUUGUGAGGGUAUCCUGGGGUUAAACUGUUCCGAAUUGCUGCUGUUGUACUGUUGAUGCUGACUAUUCAUUCUUCCUCUUCUUGUGUUUCCAAUACCAGGUACACGUUUAUGAGCUCACUUUGAUGUAACAGGGAAGAGAAGUGAAAAAUGAAAAAUGUUCGCAGAUUUAUAUUCGUUGAUAGGCUGUUUGUUGUUUAAUCUGAUGAAUUGUUAACUAUAUGAAGUUGAUGUUAAUUCUUUGUUUUAUGUCAUAUGGAUAGUAGAUAUGCACAUAAACUCUUAUGGAUUGUUGUUCUAUUUCAGUUUACCCCCAUAAGUAUGAGAACUCUGUAGUUGGUAACUUUGGCUUAACUUGUGUUACUAGUAUAGUACAAUGUAAUGUAAUGCGGUUUAGUUCUUCAGUAAGGAUAAGAAUUAGUUCGCAUUUCAGCAUGUUAUUUCAAUGUUCCCAGUUAUAAGAUCGCUAGUCGUGUGAAUGAAUGAUGUUAAUUAGAACUAGGUUAGUAAUUCUCAAAUGUUAGUUUUAAGUUCAAUAGUUGUAAAAAACU
rnacentral:lncRNA from 1 species